rnacentral:tRNA from 1 species
GGUUGUGGCUCAGUGGUAGAACACUUGCCUGGCAUGUGUGAGGCCCUGGGUUCAAUCCUCAGCACCA